UUUGAAUGUCUCCAAGGAGGGAGACUCCACUGCCUCUCUGGGCAACCUGUGCCAGUGCUCAAUUACCCUCACAGUAAAAAUCUUAGUGUUUCCACAUGAGCAACAGCAAUUUUACUUAAACAUUUCAGUGUCUGUAGGAUGGAUCCUCAAAUGCUGCUCUACUUUAAUGUCAGCUGAAGUUUAUGUGCAGCUUUUUCAGUUUCAUGUACAAAGAAAGAACAGGAGUGUUUCUUUAAUGGAGUGCAUUAUUUAUUCUGGGCUAUGCUGAAGGAAGGGAGUUCUCUAGAGAAUAGAUAGUGGUUUAACUCCAUGCUUCCUUCACUCAUCUGGUAAGAGACAUUUGUGUGUAUCUUAAUGGAUCCAUUUCCAAGCUUUCACUGUGGAUUUGAGGGAUACAGUUUAUGCAGAAAACUUACUGAAUUCCCAAAAGACUGAAAGUAUGAAUCAGGCUAACUUAACGCUCAGUUAAUUGGUGGUGAUGUCUGCUCAGUUGCACGUGAUGCUUUGGCUCAGAGACCUACUUCCCAAGAAAGCAGAACAGCAAAAUGUGAGCUUUCACUGUCCCUAGCAUGUGAUGAUCAGGGUGAGGUGGAGGCAAGACACCCUUAAAGUCCCAACCUAGAGCAGAGUCCACUGUUUGGGAAGCCUUGGUCUGUGCUUCCAGUGAUUGUAAUCAGCCUGGAGUUUGGCAUAUGUGACUAACAGUUGCUCUUUGACCUCUUAAAACUAAAACAGCACAAUAGCUGUAGUGUCCAGCCAGGAACUUUUAGUGGGCAGUCCAAGUUUGGUCAUUUAUCUGCUAUGGCCUACUAGUUCCUUGCACAGAUUGUUUUGAAGUCGCACAUAGUUGAGCCUCCUACUGAAAUCCCUAGCUAAGUAAUGCAGGGAAGGGGUUACCUUUGCUAUUUGUUUUCUGUUACCUCUGUGUCAUUCAGGAGGAGUGUGGUAACAGGUCAUCUGAUGGUUGUUUUUCCUGAGAAGCUUGAAAAUGAGGUAUUUUGUCUUUAUUUACAUUAUUUCUCCUUGACUGGCUGAGUAUCUGCUUGCUGCAUGCUUGUUUGUUUGUAUAGAACUAGCUGCUAAGAGUGUUUUUUUGUGGGGGUUGUGUUUUUUUUUUCCUUUCUAUUAUUUUCCCUGGAGAUAAUAGAAACAACACUGAAGCAUUCACUUUGGAGAGUGCAAGCUCCCCCCUCAAGCCUCGCCCCCCCCACCAAAUACCUUCGUGGGCUUUGCAGACAGGAAAAAUAAGCUUAAUUUGGUCCAGUUCUCCCCUCAAGCAGAUGAUAAACCUCCAGAGAGGUUUAGAGCAAUGCCAAAUGUCUGUGCUCUCCCAUGUUGCAUGCACCAGUUUUUUUUCCAGCUGACGUCCAAAUGUGAUGGAAACUCCAGAUAAGAAAAGUAAUGGCAGAUGUCAGAGGAUGAUGCUUGAAAAAUGAUGAGUGAUUUGAACUCUAGUAAGGGGCCUGAGAGUAUGGAAAGAAAAGCAGGAGAGUAUGGAGACAAAAGUGGCUGAAAUAAUACAGUAAUUGAGAGGCUGAUAAAGUAACAGUGAUACAGAGCAGGUUUCUGUGGAUGGGAGAUCAACUUUCAUUGACACACGGGAUGACUUCAGUUGAAGAUGAUGUCUUUCUGAACACCAGAGUUCCUAACCACGUGGCACAUAUUUACUGAAAAGCCAAGCUUUCCUUCAUUCUGCAAGUCAGGGAAGAAUUUUAUAAGCAAUUUUGUAAAAUUUGUAGGCAACGCUUGCUGGCAUGGGUGUAGGGUGGUGUUGCACCAUCUGCAUCUUGCCAUGACAGCUGGUGGUGAUGUCCAUGCGCUCAAGAGAAGCUUCAUCAGCUCACACUGCUCAGGAGUAGGGUGGCCGCUUUGUCCCACGCCGACCAGCUGGACUGUGCGACCAGAGCAUGGCCACAUUGCUCCGUGAGUGCUCUGCUGGGCUCAUGUCUGGUAGCACGGGGCUUCCAGUGCCUUUGCGGGAUUUGCUCAGUGGGCUCGGCAUGUUUCCCUUUUCCUCACUCCCCCUGCCAAAUAGAUGGCUAGCGGCCUUUGUUCUGGGCUGAAGGUUAGCUCUCAGGUGUGUGUGCGCGUGGAUGUGUGUAUGGAUCUAGCUUUUGCAUUCUAAACUGGUUGCUAAACAGAUAUGUCUAUCAUCUCCUACCUCUCAGGGUUCAUGUAUCCAUGUAUGUAAAACUUACGAAGACAUGUUAAAAUAUACAUUGUUGUAUCUGUCUUAUGUCCCAUUAACAGGGAAUGUUGCAAGAGAGUGACUGCAGGGUGCACCUGGCUGCCGGUUGUUCCUGUGGGCCUAUGCUCCUAAGUUUUUUUCUGAGGCGGUUUGAAGCAGCUGGUGAAGAUAGCACAAACGGUAUUGCUGAGCUGGUCACCAGGGGGCUGCCUGUUUAAUGGAGAAUUGAUAUUUUUCAGCCUUCCUCUUGGUUUCCUGCCUAAAGAUGGCAUUAGGUUGCAAUUUGAUUGCUAGUAAUUACAUGGACUUUACUGAAGACACGUCUCUUUCCUUAGACCAGUUUUAUGAAAUGUUUCAGUUAAAACAAAAAUACAGCCCUUGCAUAGGAGUCUCUGUACAAGAAAUGCCAUGUAUAUUCUCACAUUCCUUCUACAAUGUACCCUCACCAACUUUUUUCUUUUCUUUUUAAAGCAUGGAAAUUGCUGUAACCAAACACUAUAUAAUGCUGCUACAGAAGCUGUAGCUAGUUGUAGGGGAGGGGGAUCUGAAGUAAAAAAACUAGGGAGUUUUUUACUUCAUUUAUUUAUCCAAACCUCACUGGAUAGCUACAAACUUGUUGGCUGCCAGAAUGGAAAUACAUACCAACACACACAAAUAAGGAUUGUAAGGAGGUCAGUGAAAACUUAUUCAAAUGGAAACAAACAAAAAAGCCCAGUACCACAGUUUUGAUCUUGUUGCAGCUCUGUAUCAGCAGGGGAAAGGAGCAGAAUUUGGUCAUUUAAACUAUAUGGUCAGUCCUUUCAUUUUUGUGUAAUUGGAAGCCACUGUGUGCGUCAGGGGAGGGGGAACUGCUUCCACCUGCCAGUUGUGGGACUCACAGUGAGGAAGCUGGGUGCCAGUUGUCUCCUUGGGGUCAGAAUUUUUGCACCAUCAAUUAUGAAAUCUAAACAGCCUAAGCUAAGCAGAGCUGUUUGUUACCUUCUGUACCUUCUGCAGAAGGCUAGUGAGACUGUUUGAAGGUACAUACUUUCUCUUGUGAAGAAGAGGGGUGUGUUUUUUUUUUUUUCUUCCCCUUUUCACUAUAGAGAGGCUGCAGCUUGUCACAACCUGAAAUGCUGUGCAACCACUGAAGCUACUCGGGGGGCGGGGGGAAAAUAUGAAAAGGUGAUAUGAAAGUAGCUGGAUGUGCAGGUAUGGCUUCUCUGAUGAACAGCACUAGCACUUGCUGUUACUACUCAGUGGCAUUUUCUCUACCCACAGGGUGCUGCAUAUUGGACAAAGACUUGUCAACAGGGAAGGGAGUUCAGCUGGCAAAUGCUGCACAUUGACUCUGGCAGUAGGCACUUGACAGUGUGCCCUGUACCGACAACAUGGUGGUGAGAGACACAGGAUGAGGAAGGACCUCUCUGGACACCAAAUCUUCUCCUUUCCCAGCUGAAGUUUCUCCACGCCCUUCAUCCCAGGCAGGGAUCUCUCAAAGGCUGCAGAAUCAGUUAGAGAUUUAUUCCCUCCCUCAUCUACCAAUUGGGAGAAUAAAACUAAGACCUUGUCCAACAUGCUGAGAUAAAAUGGGAAAAGCUAAUUUAACCCACUAUAUUAUGGUCUGUGGACAGUCUGGAGGAAGUUUUUCCUUUUUUCAGAUCAGUUUAUGCUACCUUAACUUAGCCAAAGCUAAACUGAAAAAAGCCCUCUGUCAAGGAGAAAACCAGUGGUCACAAAACCAUACAAGACCUUUGGUUAAAUUAUACAAGUGUAACUGGCUGCCCUUUCCUCUGUGAAUAAAACCAAGAGCACCACAAAUGAGUGGCAUGGCCAGAAAUCCUGCUCCUGUCUCCAAACAUUGGACAUCAUGGUCCCCAUGGCUGCAUAAGUCUCACAGCAAAGAAAUAGUCAAGGCUUGAAUUCAGGUACCUGAAAGUCUUUGCACUUACGUGGGCAUCAUAGAGUGACUGUAAGCAUGGGAAUCACUGAUCAGCCUCGUCCUCUUUUCUUACAGCAGCCAUAAAACAUUUAAAUCUUCUUCCUGAGGCACCAUUAAGACCCUGAGGAUGUGACUCAUAUAAUUUGCCAGCAGUUUAAUGCCCCUGCCACCAACGCCAACACCAGAGACACCACUUGGUGAAAGUUCCACCGGUGCUCAGAGGACAGCGCUGUCAAUACCAAACGCCCAUCUUUUCUUCGUCUGCAGGGCUCAUGCGAUUUCAGUUUAUUGCUUAAAAUACUCUGUGGCAGAUGUCCCAAGUAAAGGCCUCUGUUGCAACACACUGGAGAGAAGUUACCUGGCUUUGGUGGGACGGAGGUGCCUUUGCCAAUCUGACCUGCUGGCAUUUUUGCACCCAGCCCUGUUCCGUCCUGGCACAGCAGUUUGGGCAAGUGCUGUUGUCCCACUGCUCUGCUAGGUCUUGCAGGAGCUCUCAGCUGGCAGCAUUAUGUGGCAAGAUGAAAACCAACAAACAAAUAACAGGGCUGCCAUCAAGACCUUUCCUCAAAGGGCUUGAUAUUCUCUCCUCUCUGUUUAAAUGGUGUAAUGCUGCUAAGCUUGCUCCUGGUUUCCACGCAUAUAGGAGCCUUCUUGCCAAAGAUUUAUGACUCAAACAAGAAACCUCGUGAAUGGGAAGAAACCACAGGUGUGUUGGGAAGGGACAUCAGGCGGAGGUUUAUUCCUUGACGGCCGUGGGACCUGUGGGACCCCAGGGAUGCCAUUCGCCACGACAUGCUCUAGCUAUUCAGGUCGUGGCUCUCGCAAAGUUGUUCCACUUACUUUGUCGGCGGCUGUGAGUCGUGUCCAGGGUUUGUCCGCCCUCCUGUCGUAGUCCUGUGCGUCUGCCACUUCCACGUAGUCACUGAAGCGGAUGAGGAUCUUCCUCUCGCGUAGCUCUUCUACCGUGGGCCUUUGACUCAGCUGCAGGUUUGAGGAAGGAGUGGAAAAAGACAUCAGGACUUCACUUUUUCCCUGCAGAGUGCUGCUUACCAUUGUUUUUAUCAACCUUUCACAGAGCUGCUACUUGGGAGAUAACCUCUUGUUGUAGCACCUUGAAUAUCAUCCCACCUUGCUGCCAGAGCAGCCCACCGUUGUUUGGGAAGCAGCUGUGGCAGAAGACCCUAAUCCCUGGCUGAGGUUGGUCACCCCUGGCAGAAGUGAGAUGUAACGCAAGAAAGUCUCCUAGUGCACCAAUGUCUCAGGAAGAGACAAAGACUACAACACAACUUUAAAACUACCUGCACAGGCUGUGUGUACUUCUGUGCUGCCUGGGAAGAGUCAGGCAAAGGCACCGAGUGGCUCCUGCCCUGAAUUAUGUGUAAAAGGUGACACCUGAACGUAAGACAGACUAAAAGCUGCUUCUCUUCCUCUAAAGUCAUACAACUAUUACUGUAUAUUAUUUUUAGAUGCCCUGCCUUUUCUUCAGAAACCUACAACCAGUGCAAUUUCAGUUACUUAUACACCCCAUCAGAGUGGUGGGCAGCGUCUCCAUCCCCACUGAGCAGUUGGAGCACGCAAAGCACAGAGACGGAGCAACCAGCUCAAGGUGACCCAGGAGGCCUGGGGCAGAGCUAUGAACAGAAAAAAGAUGCACUGACUCUUGUGCCAGUGCUCUGGCUGUGAAAGACAGUCCUGAAAUCCACAGCUUAUACCACAUAGUUCACUUGUAGCCAUAAAUCUACAUAUAUUUACAUAUAUAAACACACACACACAAAAUAUAUUCAGUACAUUAAACUGAAGUGCCAAUCCGAUCAUACUAAAUGUAAAAAGAGGGACAACCACACUGAGUGGUUUUCUAAAAGCAAUUAAUUAAAGCUACAUUAUUUGAAUGGUUAACAAACUGCCCUGCCUCUUUCUCAUGCCAUUGCAUAGGUUUCUUGUGAGCUGCUAAGCACAGGGGUCUCUCAGUAUGUUUGGGCUACCCAGAGCACCCUUAACUCUUAAAUAGCUGGGGAAAUAGCUUUGCAGAACAGACUCUAAGUGGCUCCACACACUGUAGGUGUCAGUUCAAUGUUCACACUGGCAGCAGAGCUCACCUGAGAUCUCACCUUGGAGUUUAUUUUUAUGACCUGUGAGCUGCGGUCUCUUGGGUCAAAAUAGCUUAAUACUGCACAAUCCUUCUUGGACAACGUGUGAGAAUAAGCUCUGCUUCUUCUAACAGGCAGAAAGAAUAGGGCACGUUUGAAACUUACAGUAAAAGGAUAUGGUCAAGGACACGAUGCAAUUGCCUGCACGAGGUGGUGGUGCUCCAAGGGGGGAGGAAGGGAUCUUACUGAGUUGGCUUACUUCUGUUAAUGUCAAAGGGAUGUGCAUGUGUGUGUCUGGACUUUUUCUGAGUGUGCCACCUGGGCAUAUACAUUUGUAUUUACCUAUUUGUGAAGAUUUGUGAGCUGGGGGAGCAGGAUAGCUUUGCGGUGAGUGACCUCAUUAUCUGAGUGUGAACCAGAGCGAAAAUCCCUUUUGAAGUAAAUGGAUUUGUAUUAAUGUAAAAGCAGUGUAAAUGAGGACAGGACCUCCCAUGUCUCGUCACAGGAGGUCAAGUUUCCCUUUGUAUAUUCUGGAUCACUGGAGAUGAAAAUGGGCAUGUUUCAAGCUUCGAUACUAAGCCAAUUUGCAAGGGAAGGUUUAACACAAACCCCUUUUUCUUGGCGUGGGAAAUGAAGCAAACCCAAGCGCCGCCACCAGGUAAAGUGGAGGGGAACAUACUCUUGCCGGUCUGGUCUUGGGAUUUAGUCAAAUGAAAAAUGCUCAGUUUGCUCCACUUCAGUCACAAUGAAGCUUGUUGUCUUGUCACGCCAUCAUUGCCUGCUUUGUUACCUUGUUAAAAUGUUAUGGUUGUUAUUUAGGGAAGAAACCAAGGUGAAAAAUUACAGAUCCUAACUAGCAGUGCACACAACCCCCUCUCUCCUUUGCUCUCGACCUUUUGUGGUAAGACAUAGGAGCAGGAUGUGAUGAAAUGACCCAAAGACCUUUCCCACUAACUCUAAAUGCAGUUUAUCCAAAUUAGCUGCUAACACUUUUUCUUCUCUGACCUCCCACCCACCCUCCCCGCCUCCCUCUCACCUUCCUCUGAUGAGUCCCACCUUUCUCAAGAGUUCAUUAUUUUGAACAGCCUGUGCUGAUGCAAGCCAGUGGAGGUCAAUUAAAGGAAAGACCGAACAACAAGACAUUUCCCAGUGAGGCACCCGUGAACAGAAAGUUUAAGUUGUACCAGGGCAGGAAUUUAAUGGGAGCAAAGAUUUCAGAUUAUUGCAGGGAUUUUAAGAAACAGCCACAUCUCAUAAUUUUCAUUGUUGAUAUUACAGCUACAAGAUUUUUAGUUUUGGAGCUAGACCUCCGGGAAAAAUUAGCUAUUGACAGUGGGGGAUAGGAAGCAGUAAACAGUUCCAGGGAACGGGGAGCAUGAUGCUAUUUGAGAGAAGAGAAGGUAGGAAAAGAAGAGUUUUAUUCCUCUUUGCAAGUAAUUUGUAAUUUGUUCUGUUAAUCCAGGCUACGACUCGCUCUCUGUAAUGGAAGUCCUCAGGGGGAGUUCAGGCUUGUGUUAAUUGCCUUGGUGCUCGGCCAAAUUCACCGUGGUUCAGAGAGGAUAAAUUCUUAGUAGCAAUUCCUGGGGGUCCAGAUCUCCUCGUGGAGGGGACCUGCCUGCAACACUUCUCCCAGAGGGCCUCUCCACAUUAAUAUUCCUGGAAUGGGCUUGUGGGCCAAGACCAGUGCUCAGAGAAAACCCCUUCCUAAUCCACAUGUCCCAUCACUCAAAUGAUGCAAGUCCAUGUGCCAAAGCUGCUCAGUGGGCCCCUCGGGGCAGGGAGAGGGAGCACAGGGGUGGCUGGAUGUACAGAACCCAUCCAUGGGCAUCUCCGGUGACAGGCAAAUAUACUCCACCUCUCCUUCCUCGGGCAACAGGGACAUGAGCUACACAGAAACUAACAGCAUUUGCCUCCAUUUUGUUCCUUGAAUGGCAGCUAUUCCCUAUCCCCAGUUAAUUUGGAGUUAGAUGAGUCUGAGAGAAUGAAAAGUGCUUAAAGGGGCAGCUUGCUAUAGGUCACCUGAUUUUUUAAAUUUUUUUUUUUAGAAAUUGCCUGUCCAGAUGAUGAAUUCAACUGGGUAUUUAUUGCUGACUUUAAUAAGGCAUCUAGACCUGGCAAGGUAAUCUUACUUAUUACAGUGUGUCAUGUUACAACUUAUCAUCAUAAUACUGUAACAAAAUGUCAGUGCUGAAGGAAUUUUAAGAACACCUUUUUAAUGGAUGAAGUGGGUUGUUCCCUUGGAGUUGGAAUGACGCCACCAAAAAACCUGGGGACAGUAGCAGUUUCUAUAGCGCAAGGUCAAAAGUCUUGUCAGUGCUUUCUGCAGAACCCCCUUCCCUUCUUAUUAUCAACUACACAUGGUUACAAGGAGGCAACGUGGCAUACUUUCCUUAUGUUGAAUUUACCCUGUGGGUAUGUGUGUGCACUAAGACUCAGUGCAAACAGAAAGGUCUGCUGGGCAGAACACUUGCCGUGCUCAAUUAAACUUCUGCUUGAUCUGAGGUUUAAAAUCCUUUGGUAAUAAGACUUCAGUACAAAUCGACAGAAGGAGUCUGCUACUCUGCUGUAGACACAAUGACACAUCUGGGACAUGCUCACGAAAGACAGAGCUGGGGAAUAACAAUUUUUGCAGGAUUCACUAGGUGGUUGGCAUUUCUAGUUGUUAUCUAUCCACUUGCACACUUUAUUCACUUCUUUCCUCUAGUGAUUUCUGAGCUUUUAUGACAGUAUGUUUGGUAGGUGAGAACAAAAUUGGUCAUUAGACCGGGCCUGUGGUUCUUUCAUUAAAAUUAUGUCACUAGAACAAUUUACAACAGUUUAAAAAUAUGAUCAAAAUCACACAAUGCUAAGUCAUGUUGCUACUAACCUCACAAACACGGGGGAGAAAAAUCUUUACUAGGGAAGAAGCCAAAAAAGGCUAAAAGGAAUGUGACUGGGAACAGGGGUAUGAACAUUAAAGAGCUGACUGCGAGGGGCUUGGACAGAUGCUGCUCUUGCUGUUGUUCCUACUUAAAAGUGCAAACAAGACAAAGAAAGAAGUCUCAUAGAAAACUGCUGAGGUUUCAGGGAGCAGAAACUGCUGCGAUGCUACAGCAGCCUGGGUGUUUUAGUUGAGCAUGUGGCUGUGGCCUCUGCCUGCAACAGACAGUUCAUGUGCUUUGUACCUUUCCUACAAAAUAGCAGAGGAUGGGAACUGUAAGGCAAUAAUGCCGGCUGAGUUAGCAAGCCCUCACUUCUUAGGCAGCAGAUUGGGUAUGGGUAGCUUUGCUUUUUAUCUAUUACAGCCGUUCAUCAAAUGGCAUCAAGCUUUGGAUUGGAUUCCUGUAUGUGUUUACCCUUCAAUGUGCAGGGAAAUCAAAAGCCUGGUAAAAAGGUAUUUCUAGCCUUUGCACAGAGUGCAAGUCCACUGAAACAUCUGCAAUGCAGUUAGGAUCUUUUCUUUCAGGCAGUGCUACAAGGGGAUGCGAGACCAUCCCUGCCGUUGUGUCAGAAAUUUGUUUUAAAAAUAAUAUUACAGCUCUCUGGGCCGCAUUCUUAGCUCCUGGAGACAACAGCAGUAUCCCCCCCAUUGGUGACCAAGAACUCUGUUGAUUUAGGUGAGCUUAGAAUAAGGCAUGAGAUUUUUAACCAUGAAAGAAAGCAAUCCAGCUCUCUGAAUGUAACCUUUCCAUGCAUAUUUAGAGCCCUUUCUUUGUUAUUAUUUAUAUCAUGAAAGCUUGUGAUCACAUAGGUCAAAAAGACUACGCCACCUAAAAAUGUACAGGAAGGGAUUGGUGCUGCUUCACAAGCAUGUGAGUUUUUAGGGGGCUUUCUCCACCUCUGGAGAUAG